rnacentral:rRNA from 1 species
GAUGAACGCUAGCGGCAGGCUUAACACAUGCAAGUCGAGGGGUAUAGUUCUUCGGAGCUAGAGACCGGCGCACGGGUGCGUAACGCGUAUGCAAUCUACCUUUUGCAGAGGGAUAGCCCAGAGAAAUUUGGAUUAAUACCUCAUGGUAUGUGAGAAUGGCAUCAUUUUCACAUUAAAGUCACAACGGCAAAAGAUGAGCAUGCGUCCCAUUAGCUAGUUGGUAAGGUAACGGCUUACCAAGGCAACGAUGGGUAGGGGUCCUGAGGGGGAGAUCCCCCACACUGGUACUGAGACAAGGACCAGACUCCUACGGGAGGCAGCAGUGAGGAAUAUUGGACAAUGGGCGCAAGCCUGAUCCAGCCAUGCCGCGUGCAGGAUGACGGUCCUAUGGAUUGUAAACUGCUUUUGUACAGGAAGAAACACUGGUUCGUGAACCAGCUUGACGGUACUGUAAGAAUAAGGAUCGGCUAACUCCGUGCCAGCAGCCGCAGUAACAC